rnacentral:lncRNA from 1 species
GGUGAAUCAAGGUGUUUCUAGAUUCAUCUCUUAAUUUGUCCAGAUCUUCACUUGAAUAACCAAUUCGGUGAAUCAAGUUUAAAGAGGAAGGGGGCUAGCUGAAUGAGCAAAUUAGGUAUUAACACAUGAGAGGUUUUUCUUCAGAAAAUUCAAAAUGGCUAUGAAGAAGAUGGAGGCUACUCUUAUGGCUUUAAGUCGAGUUUCAAAGCUGAAAGUGUAAUAUGAUGGAAAGAAAGUACCUUGGACGACUGAUUUGUGUUUUUUUUAUGAUGAUCUUCUAUUUAGACAGCAGG